rnacentral:rRNA from 1 species
AUUGAACGCUGGCGGCAGGCCUAACACAUGCAAGUCGAACGAGUGGCGGACGGGUGAGUAAUGUCUGGGAAACUGCCCGACGGAGGGGGAUAACUACUGGAAACGGUAGCUAAUACCGCCUACCAUCGGAUGUGCCCCGAUGGGAUUAGCGAGUAGGUGGGGUAACGGCUCACCUAGGCGACGAUCACUAGCUGGUCGGAGAGGAUGACCAGCCACACUGGAACUGGAAAACGGUCCAGACUCCUACGGGAGGCAGCAGUGGGGAAUAUUGCACAAUGGGCGCAAGCCUGAUGCAGCCAUGCCGCGUGUAUGAAGAAGGCCUGCGGGUUGUAAAGUACUUUCAGCGAGGAGGCGUUACUCGCAGAAGAAGCACCGGCUAACUCCGUGCCAGCAGCCGCGGUAAUAC